GGCAAGCCACGCAGAGAGACAAAACACAAACCACUGUUGAGAAAUGUAGGAAAAGAGAAAAAAACAUCUUUCUUGGAAGCACGCGAUAUGGAAUGCCCCCUGUCUUUACUAACAGCUGCAUCCACGGAAGCAGAGGCCAAAGGCAAGGGUGGAGUUAACGGGGAACAAAACACUAUUGAAAAUCGAAAAAAAAUGUAGUGUUUACAAGGAGCUAAAAGACGAGAUUUACCAGAUACCCACGCGUAAUUCACCACAUUAGCGACACAUUCCUCUUCUCUGCUUCUGUCUCGCAUGCUGCGUCCUCUCCCUUGCUCCACAGAUCCUUUCAUCCUUUCCUGCCAAUAUAUUACGACGCAGGCAUUUAGUCUUCCAAAUCCCGUACUACUCUUACCUUGAGAGCGUAAGAGGGUCGCCAAGCUCACAGGAACAAACCAGGAAGACGAUUGGAACAGAAUGAGGACGCAGCAGCAGCAGCAGCAGCAGCUUUUCGGGGAUGAUCAUAACAGCGAGAGCUGCGUCUACGAUCCACCAGCAGCGGAAGGAUCCUUGAGGUUCCAGAUCUCAUUGCGGUCCAAAGAAGGCUUGUUACCGCCACCACCUGGAGCAAUGAAUCGCGGGGUUUUAAAACAGGAGCCAGAAGUAGAGCAGGAACGAGAGCAGUACCUUGUGGCCCCAAGCAGCAAACAGCAGCAGCAGCAGCAGCAGCAAACAAGUCGAUCCUUGCCAUCGCCACCGGGGAUCAAGAACAGGAAGAAGUUCG
rnacentral:lncRNA from 1 species